AUUGAACGCUGGCGGCAGGCCUAACACAUGCUAGUCGAACGGUAACAGGAAGAAGCUUGCUUCUUUGCUGACGAGUGGCGGACGGGUGAGUAAUGUCUGGGAAACUGCCUGAUGGAGGGGGAUAACUACUGGAAACGGUAGCUAAUACCGCAUAACGUCGCAAGACCAAAAAGGGGGACCUUCGGGCCUCUUGCCAUCGGAUGUGCCCAGAUGGGAUUAGCUAGUAGGUGGGGUAACGGCUCACCUAGGCGACGAUCCCUAGCUGGUCUGAGAGGAUGACCAGCCACACUGGAACUGAGACACGGUCCAGACUCCUACGGGAGGCAGCAGUGGGGAAUAUUGCACAAUGGGCGCAAGCCUGAUGCAGCCAUGCCGCGUGUAUGAAGAAGGCCUUCGGGUUGUAAAGUACUUUCAGCGGGGAGGAAGGGAGUAAAGUUAAUACCUUUGCUCAUUGACGUUACCCGCAGAAGAAGCACCGGCUAACUCCGUG
rnacentral:rRNA from 1 species